rnacentral:rRNA from 1 species
AUUGAACGCUGGCGGCAGGCCUAACACAUGCAAGUCGAACGAGUGGCGGACGGGUGAGUAAUGUCUGGGAACCUGCCCGAUGGAGGGGGAUAACUUCUGGAAACGGUAGCUAAUCCCGCAUACCAUCGCAUUUGCCCAGAUGGGAUUAGCUGGUAGGUGGGGUAACGGCUCACCUGGGCCACGACCCCUAGCUGGUCUGAGAGGAUGACCGGCCACAUGGGAACGGAGACACGGUCAAGACUCCUACGGGAGGAAGCAGUGGGGAAUAUUGCACAAUGGGCGAAAGCCUGAUGCAGCCAUGCCGCGUGUAUGAAGAAGGCCUUCGGGUUGUAAAGUACUUUCAGCGAGGAGGCGUUACUCGCAGAAGAAGCACCGGCUAACUCUGUGCCAGCAGCCGCGGUAAUAC